rnacentral:rRNA from 1 species
AGUAACGCGUGGGUAACCUGCCUCACACUGGGGGAUAACAGUUAGAAAUAGCUGCUAAUACCGCAUAAGCGCACAGUUCCGCAUGGAACAGUGUGAAAAACUCCGGUGGUGUGAGAUGGACCCGCGUCUGAUUAGCUAGUUGGCAGGGCAACGGCCUACCAAGGCGACGAUCAGUAGCCGACCUGAGAGGGUGACCGGCCACAUUGGGACUGAGACACGGCCCAA